rnacentral:rRNA from 1 species
ACCCGCACAAGCGGUGGAUGAUGUGGAUUAAUUCGAUGCAACGCGAAAACCUUACCUACCCUUGACAUGUCCGGAAUCCCGAAGAGAUUUGGGAGUGCUCGCAAGAGAACCGGAACACAGGUGCUGCAUGGCUGUCGUCAGCUCGUGUCGUGAGAUGUUGGGUUAAGUCCCGCAACGAGCGCAACCCUUGUCAUUAGUUGCCAUCAUUUGGUUGGGCACUCUAAUGAGACUGCCGGUGACAAACCGGAGGAAGGUGGGGAUGACGUCAAGUCCUCAUGGCCCUUAUGGGUAGGGCUUCGCACGUCAUACAAUGGUCGGUACAGAGGGUUGCCAACCCGCGAGGGGGAGCUAAUCCCACAAAGCCGAUCGUAGUCCGGAUCGCAGUCUGCAACUCGACUGCGUGAAGUCGGAAUCGCUAGUAAUCGUGGAUCAGCAUGUCACGGUGAAUACGUUUCCGGGUCUU